GGCGGGCACCGGUACCACCAACCAAAGCAGCCGCACACUGUGUGCAAGAGGAUUACAACUCUCUGACUCAAGAGACACCCAGUAGCAACAGUGAGAAUUGGGCCACCUUACAUGAGGUGAACCCUGUGCAAGCGGCUGGGGAUAACAGGGCGCACCACCGCCAGUCAGUAAAGCUCAAAAGACUAAGAGACAGCGGGGCUACUAUUACCUUGGUCCAG